rnacentral:miRNA from 1 species
UCGAGGACUGGUGGAAGGGCCUU